rnacentral:rRNA from 1 species
CGGUGAAAUGCGUAGAGAUGUGGAGGAACACCAGUGGCGAAGGCGACUCUCUGGUCUGUAACUGACGCUGAGGAGCGAAAGCGUGGGGAGCGAACAGGAUUAGAUACCCUGGUAGUCCACGCCGUAAACGAUGAGUGCUAAGUGUUAGGGGGUUUCCGCCCCUUAGUGCUGCAGCUAACGCAUUAAGCACUCCGCCUGGGGAGUACGGUCGCAAGACUGAAACUCAAAGGAAUUGACGGGGGCCCGCACAAGCGGUGGAGCAUGUGGUUUAAUUCGAAGCAACGCGAAGAACCUUACCAGGUCUUGACAUCCUCUGACAAUCCUAGAGAUAGGACGUCCCCUUCUUAGGCCCCGCAACG